GAAUUUUGGGCAAUGGGCGAAAGCCUGACCCAGCAACGCCGCGUGAAGGAUGAAGUAUUUCGGUAUGUAAACUUCGAAAGAAUGGGAAGAAUAAAUGACGGUACCAUUUAUAAGCUCCGGCUAACUACGUGCCAGCAGCCACGGUAAUACGUAGGGAGCAAGCGUUGUUCGGAUUUACUGGGCGUAAAGGGCGCGUAGGCGGCGUGUCAAGUCGAUUGUGAAAUCUCCGGGCUUAACUCGGAACGGCCAAUCGAUACUGACGUGCUAGAGUGCAGAAAGGGCAAUCGGAGUUCUUGGUGUAGCGGUGAAAUGCGUAGAUAUCAAGAGGAACACCUGAGGCGAAGGCGGGUUGCUAGGCUGACACUGACGCUGAGGCGCGAAAGCCAGGGGAGCAAACGGG
rnacentral:rRNA from 1 species